rnacentral:rRNA from 1 species
GAUGAACGCUGGCGGCGUGCCUAAUACAUGCAAGUCGAGCGAACGGACGAGAAGCUUGCUUCUCUGAUGUUAGCGGCGGACGGGUGAGUAACACGUGGAUAACCUACCUAUAAGACUGGGAUAACUUCGGGAAACCGGAGCUAAUACCGGAUAAUAUUUUGAACCGCAUGGUUCAAAAGUGAAAGACGGUCUUGCUGUCACUUAUAGAUGGAUCCGCGCUGCAUUAGCUAGUUGGUAAGGUAACGGCUUACCAAGGCAACGAUGCAUAGCCGACCUGAGAGGGUGAUCGGCCACACUGGAACUGAGACACGGUCCAGACUCCUACGGGAGGCAGCAGUAGGGAAUCGUCCGCAAUGGGCGAAAGCCUGACGGAGCAACGCCGCGUGAGUGAUGAAGGUCUUCGGAUCGUAAAACUCUGUUAUUAGGGAAGAACAUAUGUGUAAGUAACUGUGCACAUCUUGACGGUACCUAAUCAGAAAGCCACGGCUAACUACGUGC